rnacentral:rRNA from 1 species
UGCAGUCGAACGCGAAAGCACUUCGGUGCAAGUAGAGUGGCGAAAGGGCGAGGAAUACAUUCCUAACGUGCCUCAAGGUCAAGGAUAGUUCAGGGAAACUUGGAGUAAUACUUGAUAACCCCACCGGACCUAUGGCCUGGUGGGCAAAGGCUUGCUGCCUUGAGAUCGGGGAAUGUGCUAUCAGCUUGUUGGUGAGGUAAUGGCUCACCAAGGCGAAGACGGCUAGCGGGUGUGAGAGCAUGACCCGCCGCAUCGGGACUGAGACACUGCCCGGACUCCUACGGGAGGCUGCAGUAACGAAUCUUCCGCAAUGCGCGAAAGCGUGACGGAGCAAUGCCGCGUGUGGGAUGAAGCUCCUCGGAGUGUAAACCACUGUCAGGGGUCAGAAACACAAUGAUCAGCCCCAGAGGAAGGGCCGGCUAACUCUGUGCCAGCAGCCGCGGUAAUACAGAGGGCCCGAGCGUUAAUCAGAAUCACUGGGCUUAAAGGGUGCGUAGGCGGCAAUGAAAGUGUCUUGUGAAAUCCCACCGCUCAACGGUGGAACUGCUUGGCAAACUUCAUUGCUUGAGGUUGGUAGAGGCUGCCGGAACCAUAGGUGGAGCGGUGAAAUGCGUAGAUAUCUAUGGGAACGCCAAAGGAGAAGUCAGGCAGCUGGGCCAAAUCUGACGCUGAGGCACGAAAGCGUGGGUAGCGAACGGGAUUAGAUACCCCGGUAGUCCACGCCGUANACGAUGUGUACUAGAUUCGGGAGAUUCUGACAUCAUCCGAGUCGAAGCGAAAGUAAUUAGUACACCGCCUGGGGAGUACGGUCGCAAGGC